AUUGAACGCUGGCGGCAGGCUUAACACAUGCAAGUCGAGCGGGGGAGGUUGCUUCGGUAACUGACCUAGCGGCGGACGGGUGAGUAAUGCUUAGGAAUCUGCCUAUUAGUGGGGGACAACAUUCCGAAAGGAAUGCUAAUACCGCAUACGCCCUACGGGGGAAAGCAGGGGAUCUUCGGACCUUGCGCUAAUAGAUGAGCCUAAGUCGGAUUAGCUAGUUGGUGGGGUAAAGGCCUACCAAGGCGACGAUCUGUAGCGGGUCUGAGAGGAUGAUCCGCCACACUGGGACUGAGACACGGCCCAGACUCCUACGGGAGGCAGCAGUGGGGAAUAUUGGACAAUGGGCGGAAGCCUGAUCCAGCCAUGCCGCGUGUGUGAAGAAGGCCUUUUGGUUGUAAAGCACUUUAAGCGAGGAGGAGGCUCUUAAGGUUAAUACCCUUGAUGAGUGGACGUUACUCGCAGAAUAAGCACCGGCUAACUCUGUGCCAGCCGCCGCGGUAAUAC
rnacentral:rRNA from 1 species